rnacentral:rRNA from 1 species
CCUACGGGUGGCAGCAGUGGGGAGUAUUGGACAAUGGGCGAAAGCCUGAUCCAGCCAUGCCGCGUGUGUGAAGAAGGCCUUCGGGUUGUAAAGCACUUUCAGUGGGGAAGAAAGCCUUGGGGCUAAUACCCUCGAGGAAGGACAUCACCCACAGAAGAAGCACCGGCUAACUCCGUGCCAGCAGCCGCGGUAAUACGGAGGGUGCGAGCGUUAAUCGGAAUUACUGGGCGUAAAGCGCGCGUAGGCGGUCUGAUAAGCCGGUUGUGAAAGCCCCGGGCUCAACCUGGGAACGGCAUCCGGAACUGUCAGGCUAGAGUGCAGGAGAGGAAGGUAGAAUUCCCGGUGUAGCGGUGAAAUGCGUAGAGAUCGGGAGGAAUACCAGUGGCGAAGGCGGCCUUCUGGACUGACACUGACGCUGAGGUGCGAAAGCGUGGGUAGCAAACAGGAUUAGAUACCCUAGUAGUC